rnacentral:rRNA from 1 species
GACAGAGGUGGCAAGCGUUGUUCGGAUUUAUUGGGUGUAAAGGGCAGGUAGGUUGUUGUGCAAGUCUGGUGUGAAAGCCCACGGCUCAACCGUGGAAUGGCAUUGGAAACUGCAUGACUUGAGUACCGGAGAGGUGAAGGGAAUUCUCGGUGUAAGGGUGAAAUCUGUAGAUAUCGAGAGGAACACCAGUGGCGAAGGCGCUUCACUGGCCGGUUACUGACACUGAGCUGCGAAAGCAAGGGGAGCAAACAGG